rnacentral:rRNA from 1 species
AUUGAACGCUGGCGGCAGGCUUAACACAUGCAAGUCGAACGAGCGGCGGACGGGUGAGUAAUGUCUGGGAAACUGCCUGAUGGAAGGGGAUAACUACUGGAAACGGUAGCUAAUACCGCAUACCAUCAGAUGUGCCCAGAUGGGAUUAGCUUGUGGGGGGGGUAAUGGCUCACCUAGGCGACGAUCCCUAGCUGGUCUGAGAGGAUGACCAGCCACACUGGAACUGAGACACGGUCCAGACUCCUACGGGAGGCAGCAGUGGGGAAUAUUGCACAAUGGGCGCAAGCCUGAUGCAGCAAUGCCGCGUGUGUGAAGAAGGCCUUCGGGUUGUAAAGCACUUUCAGCGAGGAGGCGUUACUCGCAGAAGAAGCACCGGCUAACUCCGUGCCAGCAGCCGCGGUAAUAC